UACGUAGGGUGCAAGCGUUGUCCGGAAUUAUUGGGCGUAAAGAGCUCGUAGGCGGUCUGUUACGUCGGCUGUGAAAACCUGGAGCUCAACUCCGGGCCUGCAGUCGAUACGGGCGGACUUGAGUGUUGCAGGGGAGACUGGAAUUCCUGGUGUAGCGGUGAAAUGCGCAGAUAUCAGGAGGAACACCGGUGGCGAAGGCGGGUCUCUGGGCCGUAACUGACGCUGAGGAGCGAAAGCAUGGGGAGCGAACAGG
rnacentral:rRNA from 1 species